rnacentral:sRNA from 1 species
AGAACCUCAGCAUUUGUGCUUUUCACUAAGCUUUUUCAUCAUGGAUAUUCUUGGGCUCAAUAUUAGAUAACAUUUUGAAUAGUCUUGUCCUCUUGGCUUUUGAUUAAGGUGUUGAAUAGAUCUUAUUCAAGAAAUGGAGUGCCAUACAGAUUUGUAAACCAUCUCUGAGUAGUAAAUUUGAAGAGCAGAACUAGUAUACUUAAAACAAGGCAACACAUGUCAAGGCAAAUUUAUUCUCAAUAGAACAUCCUACUUGAAGCACAAAUAUUUCAAAACUAUAAAACAACAGAUAUUGCCUUACAAUUCAAGAUGUUGAGUAUUGAUAACUAAUCAACUACUAGCCUGGGAGGUAAAAGCCAAAGCUGUAAACAGACAGGCCAGGUAAUGUGAAUGAAGAAUUGAAACUAGAAGUAAACAUCAUGGGAAGUCUAAUUAUAG